GGACGAACGCUGGCGGCGUGCUUACCCCAUGCAAGUCGAACGGAAAGGCCCUGCUUUUGUGGGGUGCUCGAGUGGCGAACGGGUGAGUAACCCGUGAGUAACCUGCCCUUGACUUUGGGAUAACUUUAGGAAACUGGGGCUAAUACCGGAUAGGAGCUCCUGCUGCAUGGUGGGGGUUGGAAAGUUUCGGCGGUUGGGGAUGGACUCGCGGCUUAUCAGCUUGUUGGUGGGGUAGUGGCUUACCAAGGCUUUGACGGGUAGCCGGCCUGAGAGGGUGACCGGCCACAUUGGGACUGAGAUACGGCCCAGACUCCUACGGGAGGCAGCAGUGGGGAAUAUUGCACAAUGGGCGGAAGCCUGAUGCAGCAACGCCGCGUGCGGGAUGACGGCCUUCGGGUUGUAAACCGCUUUCGCCUGUGACGAAGCGUGAGUGACGGUAAUGGGUAAAGAAGCACCGGCUAACUACGUG
rnacentral:rRNA from 1 species